rnacentral:rRNA from 1 species
UGGGGAAUUUUGGACAAUGGGGGCAACCCUGAUCCAGCCAUGCCGCGUGCGGGAAGAAGGCCUUAGGGUUGUAAAACACUUUCAGCGGGGAAGAUGAUGACGGUACCCGCAGAAGAAGCCCCGGCUAACUCCGUGCCAGCAGCCGCGGUAAUACGGAGGGGGCUAGCGUUGUUCGGAAUUACUGGGCGUAAAGGGCGUGUAGGCGGCCUGCCAAGUCAGAUGUGAAAGCCCCGGGCUUAACCUGGGAACUGCAUUUGAGACUGGCCGGCUAGAGGUUGGAAGAGGAGAGUGGAAUUCCCAGUGUAGAGGUGAAAUUCGUAGAUAUUGGGAAGAACACCAGUGGCGAAGGCGGCUCUCUGGAACGUUUCUGACGCUGAGGCUCGAAAGCGUGGGGAGCAAACAGGAUUAGAUACCCGGGUAGUCCCUGAGCGGGCUGGCAAGGCGCAU